rnacentral:ncRNA from 1 species
UUGAAUCAGUGACAUUCAGGCGCUUGUUUCAAGCUUAAUAGGGAACCCCGUUAAAGUCGGGGACGGGCCCGCCGCUGUGAGCGCGUACGAAAGCUGUGUUUCGCCACUGUCCCGGUUUUGGGGAUGGGAAGGCUCAGCCGGUAGGAUGAUGCGCAAGUCAGAAGACCUGCCUGAAUGAAAAGACGGCGU